GUGGGGAAUCUUGCGCAAUGGGCGAAAGCCUGACGCAGCCAUGCCGCGUGAAUGAUGAAGGUCUUAGGAUUGUAAAAUUCUUUCACCGGGGACGAUAAUGACGGUACCCGGAGAAGAAGCCCCGGCUAACUUCGUGCCAGCAGCCGCGGUAAUACGAAGGGGGCUAGCGUUGCUCGGAAUUACUGGGCGUAAAGGGCGCGUAGGCGGACAGUUUAGUCAGAGGUGAAAGCUCAGGGCUCAACCUUGGAAUUGCCUUUGAUACUGGCUGUCUGGAGUACGGGAGGGGUGAGUGGAACUCCGAGUGUAGAGGUGAAAUUCGUAGAUAUUCGGAAGAACACCAGUGGCGAAGGCGACUCACUGGCCCGUUACUGACGCUGAGGCGCGAAAGCGUGGGGAGCAAACAGGAUUAGAAACCCCGGUAGUCC
rnacentral:rRNA from 1 species